rnacentral:rRNA from 1 species
GCCUGAUGCAGCAAUGCCGCGUGAGGGAUGACGGCCUUCGGGUUGUAAACCUCUUUUAGCAGGGAAGAAGCGAAAGUGACGGUACCUGCAAAAAAAGCACCGGCUAACUACGUGCCAGCAGCCGCGGUAAUACGUAGGGUGCAAGCGUUAUCCGGAAUUAUUGGGCGUAAAGAGCUCGUAGGCGGUUUGUCGCGUCUGCUGUGAAAACCCGAGGCUCAACCUCGGGCCUGCAGUGGGUACGGGCAGACUAGAGUGCGGUAGGGGAGAUUGGAAUUCCUGGUGUAGCGGUGGAAUGCGCAUAUGAGGAAAGGAACACCGAUGGCCAAGGCAGAUCUCUGGGCCGGAACUGACGCUGAGGAGCGAAGGGGUGGGGAGCAAACAGGCUUACAUACCCUGGUAGUCCACCCCGUAAACGUUGGGAACUAGUUGUGGGGUCCAUUCCACGGAUUCCGUGACGCAACUAAAGCAUUAAGUUCCCCGCCUGGGGAGUACGGCCGCAAGGCUAAAACUCAAAGGAAUUGACGGGGACCCGCACAAGCGGCGGAGCAUGCGGAUUAAUUCGAUGCAACGCGAACAACCUUACCAAGGCUUGACAUAUACUAGAACGCU